UACGUAGGUGGCAAGCGUUGUCCGGAAUUAUUGGGCGUAAAGCGCGCGCAGGCGGCCUCUUAAGUCUGAUGUGAAAGCCCCCGGCUCAACCGGGGAGGGCCAUUGGAAACUGGGAGGCUUGAGUAUAGGAGAGAAGAGUGGAAUUCCACGUGUAGCGGUGAAAUGCGUAGAGAUGUGGAGGAACACCAGUGGCGAAGGCGACUCUUUGGCCUAUAACUGACGCUGAGGCGCGAAAGCGUGGGGGGCAAACAGG
rnacentral:rRNA from 1 species